rnacentral:misc_RNA from 1 species
GAGAGAGAGAGAGAGAGAUUGUUGACUAAUAGUUUUUGUUGGAAUACUGAAGGAGGGAACAAAAUCCCUCAUUGGGCAUGGGAAUUAUAAAGGGCAUAUAAGUGCUGGAAAACCAAACCAAAAUGGCUUACGCCAUUUUGGUGAUGGAGAGCCUAAUUUUAAGCCCAAUUUAUCCUGUAGCAUGCCAAUUUGAUAUUCACACUCCUAGGUCCGUAUAAUUUUUAACAGAUUUAUGCUAUCAGGAC